UCUGAGGGGCAAGGGAGGAUGGAUUCUGAGCUCACCUUCUGAAAUUCAAAGAAUACCCCAGCUUCUUCAAUCAGGAACAAAAGUGGGCAAGUUCAAAAUGACUUUUGUAACAUCAGAAGGUCUGUGAAUUGCACAUUAGUAAAAGUUGAGCAUCCCUUAUGCAGAAUUCCGGCAUCCUAACCCAAAUCCAAAAUUAUCCACAUGGGUGGGCUGAGAUAUCCUUGCUGACAUCCUUGCUUUCUGAUGAGCCAAAGUAUACAGAUUAAGUUUCAUACACAAAAAUUGUUAAAAUUCAGGGUAUAAACUGACCUACGGGCCAUGUGUAUAAGGCAGGUAUGUGCAAACUAAGGUCCGGGGGACGGAUGCAACCUUCUGAACCUUCUGGGUGUUUACCUCAGGCCGUCCUUAUUUUCCUUGUCCUCUUGGCAUAAGGACAUGGUUGCCCACCACAUCUUUAUCCCAAAAAGAUGAGGGAGGGAGGCAUGCAGCAGUUGAGAGCCCUUCAAAGCACUCUCAGCCACCACAUGUCUCGCUGUCUUCCUGGCAUAAGGACAGUACGAGCAGCCCUAUCCUUAUGCAAAGAGGACAGCUCAAAAAAGCAUGCAGUGGCUGAGAGCCCUCCAGAGCACUCUCAGCCACCAUCUGUCUUGCUGUUCUCCUGGCAUAAUGCCAAGAGGACAGCCCAAGGAUCAGGGGAGGUGGAUCAGGGCAGUUACCGCAUGUCUUGCCAUUCUCCCAGCAUAAGGAUGGGGUGAGCAGCCCCGUCCUUAUGCCAGGACAACAAUCUGAGUAUGACCACUGCCCUGCCCUUUCCUGGUCCUCCCCACCCAGCGUGUGUCUGGCCCCUUCCUUCCAGGCCCAGCCCUCCUGGUCGGGCCCACAAUGCGCCUCCAAGGCAAAAAUGUUUGCCCAUGCCGGGUAUAAGGUAUCUAUGGAAUACAAAUUAAUGUCAUGUUUAGAACUGGGUAUCCUCUCCAAGAUAUUGCAUUAUGUACAUUUAUGUUUUUCAUCAUGUCAGAAGUGACUUGAGAAAAUACUGUAAGUCUCUUCUGGUGUGAGAAAAUUGGCCGUCUACAGAGACGUUGCCCAGGGGAUGCCCAGAUAUGUUGCCAUCCUGCUGGGAGGCUUCUCUCAUGUCCACGCAAGCUAGAGCUGACAGACAGGAGCUCAUCCUAUUUUGCGGACUCGAACCGGCAAUCUCUAGGUCAGCAACCCAACCUUCAGGUCAGCAGUUCAGCCAUUUAUAAAACAUAGGCAUUCCAAAAUCCAAUAAUAAUAAUAAUAAUAACAAUAACAACAACAACAACAACAAUAAUAAUAAUUCCAAAACUCCUCUGGUCCCAAGCAAUUUGAAUAAGAAAUAGUCAAUCUGUACAGAUAUACCUCCAUUAAUGAAAUAGAUGUUUUCUUCUUUAAGAAUUACUUCUUUGACAGAAAAUAUAAUGUUGGAGGGGAAAAGAACAUGGAGUGAAUCGGGUUAAGUUCCUACACUAAAGCAGUUCAACUUGCUUCAGCAAACUUUUUAUUGAAAACUAGCCAUAUGAACAUAUGGAAUGAAACAAGUAAAUCUGUAGCAGCUCAUCAAAAUACAACUGAUGAAGUAUCCUUAAGUCUAACAAAGCUUAUGCUACAACUUCUUUAUCUCAGUCCCAAAGAUGCUACAAGAUUCCUUUACAUAAUAAUCCAAACCAACAAGGCUGUGUCCUUGAAUUCUACAAGUGAGUCAGGUAAGUCGUGCUGAAGUUGACAAACAUUUUGAAACUUCUAGAGACUAUUUGAAAGCUCCUUUCUAACUACAUUCAGAUAUGGGUUCUUGCUUUCACCAGCUUCCACUGCUUGUCUAGUUGAGUUAGUGGAGAUGAAAUGAGCUGCAGAAGCAAACUGCUAUCAAUGCCAGUCCAUACUCUAUUUGGACCAUAUGGCAUCUUUGAUGGACACAUCGUCAUGUGGUCCAUGUCAUUUUUGCAGGGGAUCAUUCAGACUGAUCCUAUUUGCAUACUACUCUGCCCUUUUAAAAAUAUCUGCACACAUAAUCAUAUUUAAAUUGCCAUUUUAUAAUAUUAUCUCCCCCUGGAAACAUGAAUUUCUAAAUGUAUUCCUCUCAUCUAUCCAUGAGGAUGUGUUUGUGCAGGCAUCUAUUUGAUGGGCUGUAAUACUCAUUCAAUUUUACAUCCUUUUUAGUUAACAACGAUCAUCUGCUCUCAUUAGAUUUGCAGAUGGGGACCUCUAUUGGUCUAAAGGAAAUGACUCAAUUUUUUAAAAAUGCAGUAAAACAUUUGGAAGGAUAUUUUAGUUUAAAAAGAAAACAUUGUAUUCAGUGAUAUAAAAAUAUAAAUGAUGCAGACAAAGGUAAAGAUAUUUCAGGCCCCCUAUAUCCCAGGAUCUGAUCCCAGAUUAUCUGUUUUAAAGUGGAUUAUAUGAGUCUCCACUGCCAUAUAAUCUGAGAUAAACAUAUAAUCUGGGAUGAGAUCCUGAGAUAUAGUGGCAGUGUGAUGACAGAUGAACCAAUGAAGUGUAGUAGUAGUUUGAGCAUUGUGUUAUGACUUUGGAGACGUUGAGUUCAAUUCACUGCUCUGUCUCUGCUUAUAUGGUAGCCCUUAGGCUACACAUAGAAAACAGAAUUUUUAAUGGUUUGCAAAGGCACUAUGAUGUGUAUGUUAACUGGAAAAUGAAGUGCAUGAAGCCGAUUGGUUGAGUCUUCAAGGCCCUGUGGAUUGAUUUGAUACUGUUCCUGUUCUGCUGCUGCAGAACCAGUUUGGACAAGUUUUUCAGUACUGUCCGAGUACUGCUGGGGAGAGAGAAGUCUGUACUCAAAAGAGGGCUUGCUUUUUUUGAGGCCUAUCUGCUGCUGAGGAAAGAGGGAGAAGAACCAGGACUGUAUUCUUCUCUGAAGCAGAUUUAUGGACCAAGAAAGGACUAUUUAUGACUGUGGACUUCUGUAAGUGAUCAGAGGGACCAUUGCAAAUACUACUGUUUUUGAUCUCUUGGAAUCAGUAAAGUUCCUGUAUUUUUGUUCUGCAAACCUGAGUUCUGUGGGUGACUCUGGGUCACGGACACACAUAAGAGCUUCUAUUUAUCAUCAUCAAUCUGUAACAGAAUUGUGGUAUAAGACUGGGCUUCUAGGAUAUCUUCCUAUAAUGCAAAAUUGCACCACAGAAUUACUUGCCAUGAGGUUGGCCACUAGUGUAGAUGACAAUCAGUUCAUAAAGCGUUAGCUAUUAUUAGCCAAGGCUGGCUAAUAUCAUUCAGCAGAAUGAGGUAGUUGUCUCAGGGAGAAGAUGUUGUCUUGGGACAACAGCAGAAGGAGGAAGCAAUGGCUGCCACGUAGUUGCUCUUCUUGGCAGAGAAUAAAGAACGGUGUGCUCCAGACAACCUUGUCCUCCUGCCUUCAAGUGGACUUCACAAUGAUGUCCUAUCAGCAUUGCUAAAGUUGGUUUGUUGAGUUGGAAUGAAGAAAGAAGGUGUCUUUUUUUUUCUCAGGCAGAACAAUACCUUACAUUUGCUCUGAUGUUAGCCAUGAUAGUUAGACAGAGCCCUUGUGUUCCAGAACAGUAUGUUCUUGUGUAACCAGAGGCUGGAAGCAACAAAAUAAAUAGUACAGAGAUGGUGAUAUAAUUACUUGCUUUGGAACUUUAUUAAAGUCCACCAUCCAAUGGAAAGGAAUGGACUGCUGAACCUUCUCAGCACUUAGUCCAAUCCAGCCAACUGCUUUUUACAUGCUACACCCAGAUUCAUUGACCCAACUUCCACAAUCUCUAGUUACUGAGGAUGAUGACAAUUGAACCUCCAAAGCAUUGUAAACCCGAAAUCUCCUAAUUUGGCUCAAGUUCUAAUUUUGUAUUUAGGCUUUGAAAUUAAGAAUGGCAUUGCCUAGAGCAGGGGUCCCCAAACUAAGGCCCGGGGGCCGGAUGCGGCCCUCUAAGGUCAUUUACCUGGCCCCGCCCUCAGUUUUAUAAUAUAAUCUUUUAAUAUCAUUUUUAAUAAUAUAAUAUAUUGUAUUUACAUAUAAUACUGAUAAUAAUAUUAUAAUGUUAUACAAUAUAAUACAAAUAAUAAUACCAUAUAAUAAUAUUAAUUAUAUGUUAU
rnacentral:lncRNA from 1 species